rnacentral:lncRNA from 1 species
UUUAAUCAAAAUCCCAUUCAUGAAAACAAAUUUCUUACUCUUCGAUUUUAUAUUUCAUCUUCCAUUAAAUACCAAAAUUUAUUCUCUUUUUUUUUAAUUUUAUUAUGAUGUUCGUCGGAGACAAUAUUAGUUGAUUUGAAAUAUCAGACCCAUUAUCUACCUCAAUUUCAGCACAAUCAACGUCUGUCGCACCACGAUCAUUGCUUCCAAAGACGAUGGCGUCAACAAGUUAGAAGAAGAAGGUAAUUAACAUUGAUACAGAUUCAAAGUGAUACUACUUUUGAAUUGAAAUAUCAUUACAACGAUAAAAUAAAUGAAAAGGGAGAAGAAUAUCGAAGAGACCUAGCCAUCAACAAUGACGAUGAAAGAAAGUUUUAUCAGUGAAAUUCGUAAUGGGUUCCAAAGAAUGUGCAAGCUAUUUAUUGUUAAGUAUCUCACAUCGAAAAAGGUCGGGUAAUUAGUCUCCUUAUAUAGACUUGGACAAUCCUCCCCUCAUGAGCUAGCUUUUGAGGUUGAGUUAGGCCCAAGAUCCAUUCUUUACAUGGUAUCAAAGUUAUCCCCAUCCCAAAUCUUUGUUCACUGAUGUUGGGCCCCAUAUUAUGUUGUCCGCGCUUCAAGACCUGGGUGUGCAGAUCCCACAUCGAAAAAGGGAUGAGUAAUUGAUCUCCUUAUAUGGACUUGGACAAUCCUCCCCUUAAGAGUUAGCUUUUAAGGUUGAGUUAGGCCCAAGAUCCAUUCUUUACAUUUAUAAUUUGUCAAGCAAUUAUAUUAAAAUUCCAAGUUAGGCCCAAGAUCCAUUCUUUAUAUUUAUAAAGGAAAAGGACAUGGCAUGGUCAUUUUAAAAAAAUGACUCAUAAUUGAAAAGGUGGACAUGUUGUAGCCAGUCGGCUAAAGUAAUUCCCUUUUUUAGCCAUUUGGCCCAAUUGAACACAUGUAGUCUCUAUACUCAAUUGAUACACUUUUAUACUAUAUCGAUACACUUUUUAAAAAAGAGAACGGA